AUUGAACGCUGGCGGCAGGCUUAACACAUGCAAGUCGAGCGGGGGAAGGUAGCUUGCUACUGGACCUAGCGGCGGACGGGUGAGUAAUGCUUAGGAAUCUGCCUAUUAGUGGGGGACAACAUCUCGAAAGGGAUGCUAAUACCGCAUACGUCCUACGGGAGAAAGCAGGGGAUCUUCGGACCUUGCGCUAAUAGAUGAGACUAAGUCGGAUUAGCUAGUUGGGGGGGUAAAGGCCUACCAAGGCGACGAUCUGCAGCGGGUCUGAGAGGAUGAUCCGCCACACUGGGACUGAGACACGGCCCAGACUCCUACGGGAGGCAGCAGUGGGGAAUAUUGGACAAUGGGGGGAACCCUGAUCCAGCCAUGCCGCGUGUGUGAAGAAGGCCUUAUGGUUGUAAAGCACUUUAAGCGAGGAGGAGGCUACUUUAGUUAAUACCUAGAGAUAGUGGACGUUACUCGCAGAAUAAGCACCGGCUAACUCUGUGCCAGCCGCCGCGGUAA
rnacentral:rRNA from 1 species